rnacentral:rRNA from 1 species
AGGACGAACGCUGGCGGCGUGCUUAACACAUGCAAGUCGAGCGGAAAGGCCCUUCGGGGUACUCGAGCGGCGAACGGGUGAGUAACACGUGAGCAACCUGCCCUUAGCUUCGGGAUAGCUCCGGGAAACCGGAAUUAAUACCGGAUAUGACUAUGGCCGACAUCAGCCAUGGUGGAAAGUUUUUCGGCUAGGGAUGGACUCGCGGCCUAUCAGCUAGUUGGUGAGGUAACGGCUCACCAAGGCGACGACGGGUAGCCGGCCUGAGAGGGCGACCGGCCACACUGGGACUGAGACACGGCCCAGACUCCUACGGGAGGCAGCAGUGGGGAAUAUUGCGCAAUGGGCGAAAGCCUGACGCAGCGACGCCGCGUGGGGAUGAAUGCCUUCGGUUGUAAACCCCUUUCAGCAGGACGAAGCGAAAGUGACGGUACCUGCAGAAGAAGCGCCGGCGUAACUACGCGCCAGCACGCCGC